GGAUGUGAGAGCAAUCUGGCUGCGACAUCUGUCACCCCAUUGAUCUCCAGGGUUGAUUCGGCUGAUCUGGCUGGCUAGGCAGGUGUCCCCUUCCUCCCUCACCACUUCACGUGCAUCCCUGCCAAAGCUGCAUGCUCAGUCGAAGAGGACGACCUUCCCUGAUAGAGGUGUAUCAUUCAUCGGUCAAGGGUAUAAGGUAGCUGCGCUCCCCUGCUAGAACCUCCAAACAAGCUCAAGGUCCAUGUGUAGGAAAACAUAGGGUAGUCAAGCUUUCAAGACUGCAGAAUUAA
rnacentral:snRNA from 1 species